GUAUUAUAACUUUGUGCCGGCAGCAAAUGCAAUUAACAAGCAGAAGGAGGCAUCUCCGACCCAAUAAAGUAAAUAUAUUCUUGUCAACAUGGAACUGUCAAGAACACGAUGAAGAAUUUACUCUCUGUAUACAUGUAUUACCAUUAGUACUACCAC